rnacentral:rRNA from 1 species
AUUGAACGCUGGCGGCAGGCUUAACACAUGCAAGUCGAGCGGGGGAGGUUGCUUCGGUAACUGACCUAGCGGCGGACGGGUGAGUAAUGCUUAGGAAUCUGCCUAUUAGUGGGGGACAACAUUCCGAAAGGGAUGCUAAUACCGCAUACGCCCUACGGGGGAAAGCAGGGGAUCUUCGGACCUUGCGCUAAUAGAUGAGCCUAAGUCGGAUUGGCUAGUUGGUGGGGUAAAGGCCUACCAAGGCGACGAUCUGUAGCGGGUCUGAGAGGAUGAUCCGCCACACUGGGACUGAGACACGGCCCAGACUCCUACGGGAGGCAGCAGUGGGGAAUAUUGGACAAUGGGCGGAAGCCUGAUCCAGCCAUGCCGCGUGUGUGAAGAAGGCCUUUUGGUUGUAAAGCACUUUAAGCGAGGAGGAGGCUCUUAAGGUUAAUACCCUUGAUGAGUGGACGUUACUCGCAGAAUAAGCACCGGCUAACUCUGUGCCAGCCGCCGCAGUAAAAC